UACGGGGGGUGCAAGCGUUGUCCGGAAUCACUGGGCGUAAAGGGCGCGUAGGCGGCUCAUGAAGGCUGUGGUGAAAGCCCGGGGCUCAACUCCGGAAUUGCCUUUAAGACUGCAUCGCUCGAAUUGUGGAGAGGUAAGUGGAAUUCCGAGUGUAGAGGUGAAAUUCGUAGAUAUUCGGAAGAACACCAGUGGCGAAGGCGACUUACUGGACACAUAUUGACGCUGAGGUGCGAAAGCGUGGGGAGCAAACAGG
rnacentral:rRNA from 1 species